rnacentral:lncRNA from 1 species
AUGCGGACUAAACUUUUAACCUUGUUCGUUCUGCUUGCGCUCCUGCACCUUUGCCAAGGUUGCCGACGGAAAAGACUUUUGCGGGUGGAAUGUCUUGCGGGUGGAGUGCCUUUGAUUAAAAACAUGAUAAAAGCCAUCGAUGUCAUGCGGGACUCCAUAACAGAUGAGCAACCGCACAUAAAACUUCUAAGAAAUUUUACUAGUCCGUGUAGAAAGAAGGGAGUGAAUCUCCAAGUAAUCAGUGAUAUUCUGGACAUCUACAUGACACACAUCAAACUGGAUAACAGUGAGACGUUCAUGCACAACCUGUCCCGACUUCAGGACACUGUGGAACACUGUCUCGAAAGAAACCCGCAGCCAACUACUGCAGCCAUCUCCAAAUACAAAUCUAAACAGACUACAAAGAACAUUAAGACCCUGGGGAAAACAUUUGAGAAGCUGGACCAAAGAGGCAUCUACAAAGCUGUGGUUGAGCUCAAGACGGUCCUUGUAUGGACCAGCAUGUUCGCUGGUGAACGGUGAACAGCAAAUGAGCGCAAUCAUACUGGGAGUCAUGGUCCAAAGGAGAAAGCAAUGCACACACUCUCACUCACACUGACUCAUAUGUACAUCUCGUACACACGCGCGCACACACACACACACACACACACACACACACACACACACACACACACACACACACACACACACACACACACACACCACACACUCACACACACACACCACACACCAUCCAAUUAAACUCAUGACUGAAGACAUGGACAUGACUCAGUGUUAACACAGGUUGAACCAAGGACCGGUGGAUGACAUCUUGACCAUGAUGACAUCACCACAGUCAGUGUGGUGAUUCAAGGGUAACUUGAGUCUGAAGUGUCUUGUUUAUAGUCUUUAUUCUUUUUCUUUUUGCACUGAAACUGAACAAGGUCCAAGGUGUGAACAGUGAUUAUGUCGCUGUUACUGAAUAAUGCAUUCAUGUGUGCUUAGCUUGCUUACUUAUGACUGCAUUGUCAGAUCUGAUUUGCCAGGGUUUUUACUUAGUUAAAUUAUUAUGAUUUAAGUAGUGCUGUUUAAUGCAGUACAUUUUUAUCAUAUUUAUAAUGCAUUUCCAGUAAUUUAUUGAUAAGGUAUUUAUGUAUUUUAUAAGUAUUUGCAAAUGUAGACAUAUUUGGAUUUCCAGUGUCCUGUAAGCUGAUUGCACUAGCUAAGAUUUGCACAGUCUUAAUAUCUGCCUCUUAUAAACCACUCUCAGUGUGUGGGCAGGGAUCAUCCUGUACAUAUGUUUUAUGUGUGUGGUAACAUGUAUGGAUGCCUUGCUUUUUAUUCAAAUAAAGGUAUUUUUUGUACCA